UGGGAUAUAGCCGGCCCGUCGGGUUUUUAAACUCUAUUGGGCGAGGAAUAAACGGAAGUGCGAAUCGACCAAUGGUAGUGCAAUGCCUCUUUCCAAUUUCUCCAUCAUGUCCCGCCCCAUGAGUAUGAGCCAGUCAGAUUCGUCUGACAUAUUAAGGACAGAAAUGAACGUCAAACGGAUCAAAGGUAAUCUGGAUCCGUUCAUACAGAUGGAAAGAGGGAUUAUCUUGGUGAUUUUAGGCAAAGAUUAGAGGACAGCAGAUGCCCUCUGUGGAUGGAGAGGAGCAUGAGGGAGGGGAGAAAGAAGAGAUGAAUAAAGGUAGUCGGCCAGUUGUCCUCCGAUUGGCACAAUGAUGGUCAUGACUAAAUGAGGAAGUGCAGACACCAGCCCCACCUGAGCCACAGAAGGAACAAAAAGAGUGGCUAUUGAACAAAACAUUUUAAUCCAGGUGCACAGUACUACAUUGUAUCCGAGUGUAGACUUAAAUUUCGCCUGUUCUUGAGCAGUGGUUCUCAAUUGGUUUUCAUUAUUUUUUACUUACUAAAACUUUUUACUGUCUAUCAAAAGUAAAUAAAAUUGUUCUUAAUUGUUCUUUUUCAAUAGAAUAAUUAGAUAUUCUACUAACAAUAAGUAACUUUGCAACUCAAUGUCAAUAAACUCUCAUUAGAGUAUUAGUAGACUGUUACGUUAGGGUUAGUAGAAUAAUGCAAAGUUACUUAUAGUUAGUGGAAUGUACGG